rnacentral:rRNA from 1 species
UACGUAGGCAGCGAGCGUUGUUCGGAGUUACUGGGCGUAAAGGGUGUGUAGGCGGUUUCGUAAGUCCUGUGUGAAAUCCCCCGGCUCAACUGGGGAACUGCACAGGAAACUGCGAGGCUUGAGUUCGGGAGAGGGAAGCGGAAUUCCGGGUGUAGCGGUGGAAAUGCGUAGAUAUCAGAGGAACACCGGUGGCGAAGGGCGGGUCUCUGGGCCGAUGACUGACGCUGGACGGAGCGAAAGCGUGGGGAGCGAACAGGAUUGAGAUACC